ACGGAAGGCAGCAGUGAGGAAUAUUGGUCAAUGGGGGGAACCCUGAACCAGCCAUGCCGCGUGAAGGAAGACGGCCCUAUGGGUUGUAAACCGCUUUUGUACGGGGAUAAAGUCACCCACGUGUGGGUGUUUGUAGGUACCGUAAGAAUAAGGAUCGGCUAACUCCGUGCCAGCAGCCGCGGUAAUACGGAGGAUCCGAGCGUUAUCCGGAUUUAUUGGGUUUAAAGGGUGCGCAGGCGGGCUGCUAAGUCUCCGGUGAAAUGUCAGGGCUCAACCUUGGCACUGCCGGAGAUACUGGCGGCCUUGAGAGUGGCGGAGGUAUCUGGAAUGUGUGGUGUAGCGGUGAAAUGCAUAGAUAUCACACAGAACACCGAUUGCGAAGGCAGGAUACCAUACCAUAUCUGACGCUCAGGCACGAAAGCGUGGGGAUCGAACAGGAUUAGAUACCCUGGUA
rnacentral:rRNA from 1 species